rnacentral:lncRNA from 1 species
AUUCCAUCGGCUAUUUUUAGAGUAAAAUUUUGGGGAGUCUUAACUGCACCUCAGUUUAAAAAGUUUUUGUCUGGGAAACACGAUUCAUUUACUAGUUUCAAUUGGCUUUGAACAAGCUUUCAGUAACUGCGAGUACUCUUAGGUGGGUACUUAAUGUCUUUAGUCUAUUCGUUAGUUGUGUAUUGUGUUUUGUGUCGAUCUGAUGAGUCAAACCUACCUCAACUUUGUUUUAUUUUGUGUUGUUAACCACUGUCCCCGGUUACGGGAGGGCUUAGUUCUCACAAACUUGUUGUUUGUCGCAGUCUAUUAUACUUGUUUUACGUUUAAAUUGAUUUAUACUUAAAUAUGGCCUUGUUUUCUUGUUUGAAUUGUUGCCGGGGCCUUUUAUUGCUAU